rnacentral:rRNA from 1 species
GACGAACGCUGGCGGCGUGCUUAACACAUGCAAGUUGAACGGAAAGGCCCUGCUUUUGUGGGGUGCUCGAGUGGCGAACGGGUGAGUAACACGUGAGUAACCUGCCCUUGACUUUGGGAUAACUUCAGGAAACUGGGGCUAAUACCGGAUAGGAGCUCCUGCUGCAUGGUGGGGGUUGGAAAGUUUCGGCGGUUGGGGAUGGACUCGCGGCUUAUCAGCUUGUUGGUGGGGAAGUGGCUUACCAAGGCUUUGACGGGUAGCCGGCCUGAGAGGGUGACCGGCCACAUUGGGACUGAGAUACGGCCCAGACUCCUACGGGAGGCAGCAGUGGGGAAUAUUGCACAAUGGGCGGAAGCCUGAUGCAGCAACGCCGCGUGCGGGAUGACGGCCUUCGGGUUGUAAACCGCUUUCGCCUGUGACGAAGCGUGAGUGACGGUAAUGGGUAAAGAAGCACCGGCUAACUACGUG